rnacentral:rRNA from 1 species
GAUGAACGCUGGCGGCGUGCCUAAUACAUGCAAGUCGAGCGAACGGACGAGAAGCUUGCUUCUCUGAUGUUAGCGGCGGACGGGUGAGUAACACGUGGAUAACCUACCUCUAAGACUGGGAUAACUUCGGGAAACCGGAGCUAAUAACGGAUAAUAUUUUGAACCGCAUGGUUCAAAAGUGAAAGACGGUCUUGCUGUCACUUAUAGAUGGAUCCGCGCUGCAUUAGCUAGUUGGUAAGGUAACGGCUUACCAAGGCAACGAUGCAUAGCCGACCUGAGAGGGUGAUCGGCCACACUGGAACUGAGACACGGUCCAGACUCCUACGGGAGGCAGCAGUAGGGAAUCUUCCGCAAUGGGCGAAAGCCUGACGGAGCAACGCCGCGUGAGUGAUGAAGGUCUUCGGAUCGUAAAACUCUGUUAUUAGGGAAGAACAUAUGUGUAAGUAACUGUGCACAUCUUGACGGUACCUAAUCAGAAAGCCACGGCUAACUACGUG